rnacentral:lncRNA from 1 species
AAUUGAGCUAUAUCUGUGACUCACUAUGUGCAAAUUAGUAUUCCACAUCUCCAGGCCUGCCCUGGCGGAAGAUUCCCUUAAAGCAUACCUCUGUACACACAGUAAUUUUGUGCUUUGGCAUUGACGGUGAUCCUUGGCUAACUCCAAAGAAAGCCAAGUUUGCAGGCAGCCUAACUUUAGGAAGGAAGAAGACAACAAGACUGGAUACUAUAAAGACUGUGUAAAGUUUCAGUAAAUGUCAACUUCAGGUGAGCGUGGGAGCUAACGGGGAGGUGGCAGAGAAUAUUAAUGAAAUGAAAUAAGAGCGCUACAGAAGAUUUUCUUACCAGUUGUCCCCCCAUUUGUGUAUGAAAUUUGCAGAUGCACACAGCAAUAUUGCAAUCUAAUCCCUUGGCAGCUGAAAAGGUACUUUCAGGGGACUUUUCCCUUUUCUGCAGGCUGUGACGCCUGAACACUCUCGCGGACCCAUCGGAGAGUCACCCGGGAUGCUCUCUGAGGCUGAAGAAUGAAUAGCCCUGCUGACCCCAGCAGUCUUCAGCCACCACCUCUGUGGGAAAGGACACCGCCCGGCGCGCCCCCUGGGCUGGAGGUGCCAGGCCCGUGCGAGUGUUCGCGCUCCCACCAUCUCUACCGGUCCAGGCACAAGCAACAGCUGUGCCUGCCAGCAGCAAUCAGAUCCCAGAGCGCCUCUCUCGCCUUUCACGGUUCUCAGCAGGGUGCCUCACCCGAGCAGGCGGCGUCCGAGUAAACGCCUCCUCCAGGCAGUCCUCGGGUAACAGGCCAAGGAGAAAACUGUGACCAGGACCGUGAAAGCUGACUUGACCUUUUCAGGUUCGUUCCCGUUUGUUUCCUAGCCCAGCAGUUCAAACAUUUAUUUUUAAACUGUCUCCAAACAAAACACAAAACUUAGAAAGAUUGCAAAGAAUUAAACUGAAGUCGGGCACCAGUGUUUUGGAUUUUCCCUUGAGGCAGAGUUGGGGGGGGGGAGGGUACUACCCCCUUUGCAGUUUCUAUUUCUUCCCACUUUGUGAUCUACUUGGUGCCAGGAAGCUACGCGGACAUGGUCUUGAAACGGCAUGGGACGCAACACGUGUCUCGCGUUCCUUUUAUUGUUAGGUCCCCGAACACCAUCUCGACCCCCACUGCCCCGCCUCGUUGAAAAGCGGCCUGUGUCUGGGCAUCAGGCCCUGCAGUAGGAAGACCUUACAUGAAGGAUGCCUUAAGUGUUCCUCGUUGGUAAGAUCCCGGAAUCUUGGAGGCAUUUAGCCUUGUUCUCUACUUGCCUCUUGUUUUUAUCACACCGUUCCCGCCCAUU